rnacentral:rRNA from 1 species
UACGUAGGGGGCGAGCGUUGUCCGGAUUCAUUGGGCGUAAAGCGCGCGUAGGCGGCUCGACAAGUCGGCCGUGAAAUCUCCAGGCUCAACUUGGAGGGGUCGGGCGAGACUGUCGGGCUCGAGGUGGGCAGAGGGCAGUGGAAUUCCGGGUGUAGUGGUGGAAUGCGUAGAUAUCGGGAGGAACACCCGUAGCGAAGGCGGCACUCUGGGCCGGAACUGACGCUGAGGAGCGAAAGCGUGGGGAGCAAACAGG